AUGACCCUGCCGCCGCAGCACCCCACCCCACCAUUACCUGCCGCCGCCCACCACCACCUACCGGAUCUGGCCCGCAACCACGGUAUCGAUCCCGACCACCAUGGCUCCCCACCACACCACCACCUCCACCUCCCGUCCCGCACACCCAAAAAUCCGGCCACUAUCGCCCCGCCUCCUCCUCCUGCUGCCCGGCGCGGCCCUCCUCCCACCUGGUGCCACCCCGCCUCCUCCUCCCGCCCGGCAAGGCCCCGCCUCAUCCUCCUCCCGCCUGGCGCGGCCCUCCUUCCACCUGGCGCCGCACCGCCUCCUCCUCCCGGCCGGCGCACCUCCAUCCUGCAAUGCCGCCUAGGCGAUGGCCCCAGCCCCGCUCCACUCCAGCCACGGUAG
rnacentral:rRNA from 1 species